rnacentral:lncRNA from 1 species
ACGGCCGACUGAAUAGCAAUGACAUGUGGGCCAGGAAGAAGUCAAGGAGGCUCCCACUGGUCCCUGGAGGCAUUUAUAGCUCCAAGUCAGAAGCCCAGCCUGUGGAAGAUGACAGCCCCAAAGCCCUGCCUGUGUUAGGGGAGCAAUCGAACUCAGAUAAUGACAUAAAUGAGUCGCUGUUCAUCUGGGGAAUCUCAGACAAAGCAGCCCAGAGGAAAACCAUCUCUGCCGGGGAAGGCUCGUUUCACUUGCAACAAGAGAAGCAGCAGCCACGACCGGAGCCUGAGCGCAAGCUGGGGAGAGGUAGAGGGAGGCUGAGGCUGCCGCGUGUGAGUAGCAUUUGAUGAUUUUUCUGCAGCCUGGGAUGGGAUGCUGGGGAGGGGGCUUGGCCGUGAGGUGGGCAUGCAUGUGUAGGUUGGGGCUUUUCCU